rnacentral:misc_RNA from 1 species
UGAAUAGCCUCGCCGGAGCAGGCCGAGGACGGUUUGGAGCACGCAGACGUGCGCUUCACAUCCGAGUGCCACGAUCGUCCGCCGCUCUGCAGGCAACCGGGCGAGAAGACCCGGCUCCGAGCAGGCAUCGAAGUGUCGCUUCUCGAUUGGUGGUGCGGCGCACGCCUCCAGUUCCGGAACGGUGGGGCCCAGACCGAGGGAGUUCUGCUCAGUGCGCAGGAUUGGUACGGCAAGCCGGCGCGCUGCCUCCGCGAGCAGCCCGGCUCGCGCGACGAUCGGGGCUUUGGCGUGGAUGACGGGCAUCAACCGCGCUU